UAUAUAUGAGAAAAAGAAAUGCAAUGGUAAAAGUAAAAAAAAAAGGAAUAUAAAAAGCUGUUUUCAGGUUUAUAUAGUCAGAGAGAGAGAGAGAGAGAGAGAGAGAGAGAGAGAGAGACAGAGACAGAGACUUACUUUAAGGCAUAAGGGGCAGGACCACCUAACCCCAAUGCCCAGCCCCCUCACCCUCUGAAGAGACACUAAAGCACAUUUACUCUCUCUCUCACUCUGGCUCUCAGUGCCUAUGUCCAGACUGCUGCUUCAGACCUCACCGCCCCUUUCCAUUCAAACCAACUUUAAGCCAGACUUCUGAGUGUGUGAGCCAGCAUUUCAUCAACAGUCUGCUGUGCACUUUCAGGAGCCUCUUAAUUUGUUAAAGUUUCAGCUGGAGAAAAGUGACCAACAGUGACCAUGAUGAGGAUCAUACUACUGCUUCUGGUCACCCUGACGGGGCCUUUCUGUACCUUUACCCAAGCAAGUACUCUGGUGGUGCCAACAGCUAUUGGUUCAACUCCACAACCAAAUCUUGCAUCAGAUUCACCUACUUUCACAUACACAACAGAGGUAACAUCUCCUCAAGAUGCUGUUUCAACGUCAGAGCCUGCUCCUGAGGUUACAGAAGCAGCUGCCACGACAGAAGAAGUGCCAAUGGUUUCCACAACAGCAUCAGUGAUACAGUCAGGAACCCCAUUAGAAACAACAGCCCUAACAGAUACAACACAAUCAACAGAAGCUGUACCUAUAGAGACAACCAGCCCUGAAGCCACUACUGUCUUUGCAGAAGCAGAAAUGCCUGAGAAAGUUGAAGACAUAGAAUCAAAGACUGCAGAUGAAGAGGUGGAGGAUGAAGCCCCUGAAAAGAAAGGCACGACAGGAAGAGAAAAAGAAGAAAUCCGGGAAGUUCUGAACUAUUGUUCUGAUGUUAAAAACAAUCCAAGCAGCACUCUCACCAUCCAUCCAGGACUGUACGGGGAGCAGGAGAGUGUCCCAUCCCCUUUCCCAUUGAAAAAGAUGCCCUCCCACAAAAACACCUUCCCAGUGCCCACAAGUUAUUUUAUUUAGCCUGAAAAACCUUAUUUAUCCCAAUAGUGGGAGGCCACAGGAAGUUACAGUAUCUUUUUUUAAUGCAUAUUAAUGUAACAGGAGAUUAAUGAAUGUUCAAUUUGUAAAGGGCCUAAUAAACAAAAACAAACAAACA
ensembl:lncRNA